rnacentral:rRNA from 1 species
AAUCAGGUAGGAAUACCCGCUGAACUUAAGCAUAUCAAUAAGCGGAGGAAAAGAAACCAACAGGGAUUGCCUCAGUAACGGCGAGUGAAGCGGCAACAGCUCAAAUUUGAAAUC